GAAAUAUCUUCUCUACUACAAAAAACACGGAGGAGUGUACACGUUGUUGGCCGGUUCUUGAUAUAUAUUUAAGAGAAUCUUUUGUAAUACAUUAAAAAUAAAAAUUUUAAUCCGCGAUUUUCUGUGAAAUCCUUAAACAAAUUCAAUAUGUUUUUCUUUCAACAUAAAGCGAACUAUGUUGAUAAUUAUAAACUACGAGUAUUUUGUGGAAGCUAGUUAAUUUUAUGAAACAAUGUCCCUUGGUCUUCUCAUUAUGGGCGAUGAAGGAAAUUGCACUCACAAAUGGUUAUGGUUUGGUGAUUUAUUCCCAAGAUGUGAUGAUCAUGACCAUCAACAUUAUGAAACGAUAUCUAAAUUACAGCCGGAUGAAGAUUAGUCCUCUAAAAUCGUGAAAUGUUUUGAAUAAGAUUCUCUCCCAAUUUAUUAUAAACGGUUGUGGACUCUUUGCUCGUAUCUUGGAAAAACUUUCCAAAAGGCAAGACAACUCAUUCACCCGACCCGAGCUCCAAAUGCCGAAAAAGCAUUUUUGCAAGAAAAUUUGGAAUGCUGAUGCCCUGUAAUCUAUGGAGGAAGUAUAUCCUAAAGGUUGGAAAUCUUAUUGUGAUGCUUGUGUGUGGUGUGCGGCAGUGUGGAAUUAAUUUGUAAUAAAAAAUCCCAAUAAAUAAAUAUAUUUCAAUCAAAA